rfam:Capsicum annuum cultivar Zunla-1 chromosome 5, whole genome shotgun sequence
AUACUUACCUGGACAGGGUCAAUGGGCAAUCAACAAGGUCCAUGGCCUAGGUUGGUGACCUCCAUUGCACUUUGGAGGGGUGCCUGCCCAAGGUCGGCCCAAGUAGCCGAGCCUACGUCAUAAUUUGUGUCAGCAGGGGCCUGCGUUCGCACAGGCCCUAC